rnacentral:rRNA from 1 species
CCUACGGGGGGCAGCAGUAGGGAAUCUUCCACAAUGGACGAAAGUCUGAUGGAGCAACGCCGCGUGAGUGAAGAAGGGUUUCGGCUCGUAAAGCUCUGUUGGUAGUGAAGAAAGAUAGAGGUAGUAACUGGCCUUUAUUUGACGGUAAUUACUUAGAAAGUCACGGCUAACUACGUGCCAGCAGCCGCGGUAAUACGUAGGUGCAAGCGUUGUCCGGAUUUUUUGGGCGUAAAGGGAGUGCAGGCGGUUCAAUAAGUCUGAUGUGAAAGCCCUCGGCUCAACCGGAGAAUUGCAUCAGAAACUGUUGAAGUUGAGUGCAGAAGAGGAGAGUGGAACUCCAUGUGUAGCGGUGGAAUGCGUAGAUAUAUGGAAGAACACCAGUGGCGAAGGCGGCUCUCUGGUCUGCAACUGACGCUGAGGCUCGAAAGCAUGGGUAGCGAACAGGAUUAGAUACCCCUGUAGUC